CCCUUUAGACGGGACGAACAUUCCGAAAGGGAUGCUAAUACCGGAUGUGACGCUCCUAUCGCAUGACGGGAGCGUGAAAGAUGGCCUCUACAUGUAAGCUAUCGCUAAAGGAUGGGCCUGCGUCUGAUUAGCUAGUUGGUAGUGUAACGGACAACCAAGGCGAUGAUCAGUAGCCGGUCUGAGAGGAUGAACGGCCACAUUGGGACUGAGACACGGCCCAG
rnacentral:rRNA from 1 species